rnacentral:rRNA from 2 species
GAUGAACGCUAGCGAUAGGCCUAACACAUGCAAGUCGAGCGGGAUUCGCCUUCGGGCGAUGAGAGCGGCGCACGGGUGAGUAACACGUAUGCAACCUACCUACAACAAGGGGAUAGCCCGUUGAAAGACGGAUUAAUACCCUAUAACACAGGGGCUCCACAUGGAGAUAUUUGUUAAAGAUUUAUCGGUUGUAGAUGGGCAUGCGUUCCAUUAGCUAGUUGGUAGGGUAACGGCCUACCAAGGCAACGAUGGAUAGGGGAACUGAGAGGUUUGUCCCCCACACUGGAACUGAGACACGGUCCAGACUCCUACGGGAGGCAGCAGUGAGGAAUAUUGGUCAAUGGACGCAAGUCUGAACCAGCCAAGUCGCGUGAAGGACGACGGCCCUACGGGUUGUAAACUUCUUUUGCAAGGGAAUAAAGUGGCCCACGUGUGGGCUUUUGCAUGUACCUUGCGAAUAAGGAUCGGCUAACUCCGUG